GACGAACGCUGGCGGCGUGCUUAACACAUGCAAGUCGAGCGGAGCGGCGAACGGGUGAGUAACGCGUGAGUAAUUGCCCCCCUCUCUGGGAUACCAGUUGGAAACGGCUGCUAAUACCGGAUAGUGGGGGAUGACUCGCGUCCUAUCAGCUUGUGGGUGGGGUAGUGGCAUACCAAGGCGACGACGGGUAGCCGGCCUGAGAGGGCGACCGGCCACAAUGGGCUGCGAUACGGGCCAAACGCGUACGGGGGGCAGCAGUGGAGAGUAUUGCACAAUGGUGGAGACCCUGAUGCAGCAACGCCGGGUGCGGGAUGACGGCCUUCGGGUUGUGAACCGCUUUCGGCCAUGACGCGGUAGUGGCAGAAGAAGCACCGGCUAACUACGUGCCAGCAGCCGCGGUAAUUC
rnacentral:rRNA from 1 species